AGUUUGAUCAUGGCUCAGAUUGAACGCUGGCGGCAGGCUUAACACAUGCAAGUCGAGCGGAGAGAGGUAGCUUGCUACUGAUCUUAGCGGCGGACGGGUGAGUAAUACUUAGGAAUCUGGCUAUUAGUGGGGGACAACAUUUCGAAAGGGAUGCUAAUACCGCAUACGUCCUACGGGAGAAAGCAGGGGAUCUUCGGACCUUGCGCUAAUAGAUGAGCCUAAGUCGGAUUAGCUAGUUGGUGGGGUAAAGGCCUACCAAGGCGACGAUCUGUAGCGGGUCUGAGAGGAUGAUCCGCCACACUGGGACUGAGACACGGCCCAGACUCCUACGGGAGGCAGCAGUGGGGAAUAUUGGACAAUGGGGGGAACCCUGAUCCAGCCAUGCCGCGUGUGUGAAGAAGGCCUUAUGGUUGUAAAGCACUUUAAGCGAGGAGGAGGGUACUGGUAUUAAUACUACCAGGUACUGGACGUUACUCGCAGAAUAAGCACCGGCUAACUCUGUGCCAGCAGCCGCGGUAAUACAGAGGGUGCGAGCGUUAAUCGGAUUUACUGGGCGUAAAGCGUGCGUAGGCGGCUAAUUGAGUCGGAUGUGAAAUCCCCGAGCUUAACUUGGGAAUUGCAUUCGAUACUGGUUAGCUAGAGUGUGGGAGAGGAUGGUAGAAUUCCAGGUGUAGCGGUGAAAUGCGUAGAGAUCUGGAGGAAUACCGAUGGCGAAGGCAGCCAUCUGGCCUAACACUGACGCUGAGGUACGAAAGCAUGGGGAGCAAACAGGAUUAGAUACCCUGGUAGU
rnacentral:rRNA from 1 species